rnacentral:lncRNA from 1 species
CCGAUAACCACUCCGGCACGUCCACCUUCUGCUGAUGAAAGGAGUUUUUUCUAGUUAAUUCACUGAGAAAGUCGAAAAGUGAACACAUUCUCAGUUCCCAUCAUCAACAUCAAAAAGAGGAAUAUAACUCUCUCCUAAGCAGGAGCGAUAAACAAGCAUCAACCCUCUCUCAAACAAAGGUCAACCCAAACCCCCAAACUUUCCCCAAAAAGAAAUGCAGCAACAACCAACCCCCACCCCCACCCCCACCUCCGAUUCCGAUCUCCCCCGCCUCGCUAACAUCAAAAUCAAAUCCUCUUCCCCCCGUUUCCCACCUCCCACCACCCCUUCCACCACCGAUACCCCCACCGCUGGUGCUCAACGCAAGAUCGGCAUCGCCGUCGAUCUAAGCGACGAGUCCGCUUUCGCCGUUAAGUGGGCCGUCCAUCAGUACCUCCGUCCAGGUGACGCCGUCAUCCUUCUCCACGUCCGUCCCACUUCCGUCCUCUACGGCGCCGAUUGGGGCUCCGUUGAUCUCUCCAUCGUCGAUACCGAAAACGAAGAGUCUCAGCGAAAACUCGAGGAUGAUUUCGACACGUUUACUACUACUAAAGUCUCGGACAUAUCUCAGCCGUUAGUUGAUGCU